GAUGAAGAACGCAGCGAAAUGCGAUAAGUAAUGUGAAUUGCAGAAUUCAGUGAAUCAUCGAAUCUUUGAACGCACAUUGCGCCCGCCAGUAUUCUGGCGGGCAUGCCUGUUCGAGCGUCAUUACAACCCUCAGGCCCCCGGGCCUGGCGUUGGGGAUCGGCGGAGCCCCCCGUGGGCACACGCCGUCCCCCAAAUGCAGUGGCGGUCCCGCCGCAGCUUCCAUCGCGUAGUAGCUAACACCUCGCGACUGGAGAGCGGCGCGGCCACGCCGUAAAACACCCAACUCUUCUCAAGUUGACCUCGAAUCAGGUAGGAAUACCCGCUGAACUUAAGCAUAUCAAUAAGCGGAGGA
rnacentral:misc_RNA from 1 species